AAUCAGUCAAACUGCCAUCCACUUCAAGAAAUAUUACAUUGGCCAUGUACAAAGACGGAGUGGAAACAAUUGAGAAGG
rnacentral:sRNA from 1 species